rnacentral:rRNA from 1 species
CCGAUAACCUGGUUGAUCCUGCCAGUAGUCAUAUGCUCCUUUUAAAGAUUAAGCCAUGCAUGUCUAAGUACAAACUAAAUUUUGGUGAAACUGCAAAUGGCUCAUUACAACGGUUAUGAUGUACCCGGGAUUUCCGAUGGAUAUUUCCAGUAUCUCUAGAGCUAAUACAUGUAACUGCGUUUAUUAGUUUCAAACAAAUCUGUCGCUGAGUCAUGGUAAACGGUUGAUCGACUCGACGUCCCGGAACAGUUUCCGCCCCAUCAGCUUCGAUGGUUGGGUAUUGGCCUACCAUUGCAACAACGGGUAACGAGGAAUUAGGGUUUGAUUUCGGAGAGGGAGCCUGAGAAACGGCUACCACAUCUACGGAUGGCAGCAGGUGCGCAAAUUACCCAAUGCAGACACUGUGAGGGAGUGACGAGAAAUAAUAAAGCGGGGCUUCUGUCUUGCUAUUAUAAUGAGGAAUAACUAAAUGUCAUUCCUAUUAGCAACUGAUGGGAAAGUCUGGUGCCGGCAGCCGCGGUAAUACCAGCUUCAGUAGCAUAUAUUAAAAUUGUUGCAGUUAAAACGUCCGUAGUCUGUACGUCGUCCAAGACUUUACUACAUCUCUGCAUGUUCUUUAUUGGGCGGGUAGGUUGUUUGUAGUUACUCCCUUGAUCAAAAUAGAAUGUUC